rnacentral:rRNA from 1 species
UACAGAGGGGGCAAGCGUUGUUCGGAAUUACUGGGCGUAAAGGGCGCGUAGGUGGCCUUCUAAGUUGAACGUGAAAUCCCUGGGCUCAACCCAGGAACUGCGUCCAAGACUGGGAGGCUUGAAUCCGGGAGAGGGAUGCGGAAUUCCAGGUGUAGCGGUGAAAUGCGUAGAUAUCUGGAGGAACACCAGUGGCGAAAGCGGCCACCUGGACUGCACCUGACGCUGACACGCGAAAGCUAGGGGAGCGAACGGG